AUGAGCGACACUGAAAGGUGCACCGUCUUCGACAACUUCCUCGCCGACCCCAGGUACACCUUUGCAGGCUUCUCCAUCGAUGGUGACAAAACCAGGUUGGAGCACCUCAAACUAGAGGUCGCCAACUUCGUCGACAUCCAGAAGGAGUGGAGGGUGUCCGAGGCAACCAAGCCGUUGGACUCCCUCGGGGACGUCUCCGGCGUGAUCAUCGACGACUACUACAACAACAUGAAGAAGAAGAUCACCGACGACGAGCACCGGCGCUGGGCCACCCUGCCUCUGUCCAGGAGGCACAUCGAGUACGCGGCAAAGGACGCCUAUGCAGCGAUGGCACCGGUAGCGGACACAUGCGUCUACGCAGAAGGUCUAGAGCUCACCAACACUGAGUGGCGCAGCAUGCUCGGCUGCCUGAUGAUACCCAACAAGGGGUUUUGUGCACCAUUUCUUCAUCGCCUCACAACCGCAGAUCUACAGGAAAGUUGGAAACUGCCAUCCAUAAUAAAAUUUCAUGCUCCAAGUUCAGGGAAUCUUAAUUUGGAGACAGAACACAAGAAUGGCUAUGGAGACAUGCAAGCUGACUACCACAUUGACCCUGAAGACUGCAUCAACAUAACUACUGGUUGGAAAGAUUUUGUCUCCAAGAAUGGCUUUGAGGCCGGAGAAGUGGCCAUGGUCUUUUUCUACAAAGAAGAAGACUCCAUCAAGUUUACAAUAUUUGCACUAUAG
rnacentral:rRNA from 1 species